rnacentral:SRP_RNA from 1 species
GCUGAGCGUGGUGGUGGGUGCCUGUAGUCCCAGCUACUCGGGAGGCUGAGGCAGGAGAAUGGUGUGAACCCAGGAGGCGGAGCUUGCAGUGAGCCGAGAUCAUGCCACUGCACUCCAGCCUGGGNNNNNNNNNNCCCAGGCUGGAGUGCAGUGGCCGGAUCUCAGCUCACUGCAAGCUCCGCCUCCCGGGUUUACACCAUUCUCCUGCCUCAG